UCAGAAUUGCAUGUGCACUUAAUUAGGGAAGAAGUAUUGGUCACAAAAAAAGGCUGUUGUUUUCUGGCAAGGGUCGUCGAAAUUCCAAAAUUCCAACGCGUUAGCUGCCACAUGUAUUUCGGUCUUUUGACAGCUGCGGAGACAAAGGUGCUCUCGCUCUCUGGCUUUGCUGCUCGUAUGGUUAAACCCUUGCCCCGCAGGUUAAACUAUACUUCUCUCUUUACAAAACCUUAAUUGAUUUUUUUUCUUUUUUUUGUUAAGAUGGAUAUAAAUUGCUCAAACAGCCAUACCCAGACGAGAUGCAUAUACAUAGUUUAUUGGUUGUUCGAAAUUAGAACCAAAGAAGGAACGUGUUUACAUGGAGUCAAGUAAUUCGUAUGUUAGUAUAUGCACAUCGAAUCUCCUAUGCGUCAAAUCUCUUAAUAUUCGCAGAACACUUCAAAAUUUUAAUAUAUUCAGACACGAUCAUCUCGUGUAGGUAUGGUAUGCAGUUAAGGGGAGGGGAGAGAUGAAUGUGUUGUGACUGCAAAUUUGCUCCCUCUCCAACUAAAAAUCAAAACACAUCAGGAGGGCAUGAAGAUGAAUGAAAGGGAGCACAUUCCAUUACAACUGUUUAUCUUUUUGAAAAGCACUCGUAGUAAGAGAAUUAACCAAUGUUAUUGACGGUAGACAUUCUAAUUUUGACAAAAAAAAACAAAAAAGAAGUAACUAGAAAUGAUGACUGGAAGAGACGCUCAAGAUGGAAUAGAUUUUUAUUUUUAUCUUUUUCUCACUCGUUACUUUAGCU
rnacentral:lncRNA from 1 species